rnacentral:rRNA from 1 species
UACGUAGGGUGCGAGCGUUGUCCGGAAUUACUGGGCGUAAAGAGCUCGUAGGUGGUUUGUCGCGUUGUUCGUGAAAUCUCACGGCUUAACUGUGAGCGUGCGGGCGAUACGGGCAGACUAGAGUACUGCAGGGGAGACUGGAAUUCCUGGUGUAGCGGUGGAAUGCGCAGAUAUCAGGAGGAACACCGGUGGCGAAGGCGGGGUCUCUGGGCAGUAACUGACACUGAGGAGCGAAAGCGUGGGGAGCGAACAGG